rnacentral:rRNA from 1 species
UACAGAGACUGCAAGCGUUAUUCGGAUUCACUGGGCGUAAAGGGUGCGCAGGCGGUUGGGUGUGUCAGAUGUGAAAUCCCGAGGCUUAACCUCGGAACUGCGUCUGAAACUACUCGACUAGAGUACUGGAGAGGGAAACGGAAUUCACGGUGUAGCAGUGAAAUGCGUAGAUAUCGUGAGGAACACCAGAGGCGAAGGCGGCUCACUGGACCGGUACUGACGCUGAUGCGCGAAAGCGUGGGGAGCAAACGGG